AUUUAAUUCGUCGUUACGCGAAAAACCUUACCACAAUUUGUAUAGUAUCCCUGAAAAGAUAUUACAAGCGUUGCACGGUUGUCUUCAGUUAAUGUCGUGAGAUAUUGGUUAAUUCCAUUAAAUUAACGGAAACCCUUGCUUUAUUUGCAAAAUUUAUAAAUAAAGCAGUUCACCAGUAUAUCGGAAAUGAUAACAGGGACCAAGACAAAUCAUCAUGGCCUGCCGAGCGAU
rnacentral:ncRNA from 1 species